rnacentral:sRNA from 1 species
CACUGAGCUCAUUUCGUCAUGGGAAGAGCUCAUUCCCUCUCUAGUGGCAGAAUUCCUUCUGUGACUGCAAAGCAUCUGCUCCCCAGGGCUUUCCUGGGGCCCUUUGGAAUGAAUCUGCACCCAAAGAGUCACUAGAAAUGUUGGAAAAUGACCCUCCCUGGCUUCUGGAGGAAGACCACAGCCUGGAUGAUCCUCAGAGGCCCCAGACUGACAAGAAGCCUUGGGGACCCAGCCUCCAGCAGCCGAGAUCCCACCUGGAGUUCCAGUAUGUCUGUCCUCCCUCCACUCUGGAGUCAGACCCCUGCUUACACUGGAAUAGUCUACCCUCUCUAUGAGACCUCUUUGCCUCUUCCUGUGCUUGGCUAGACAGAUUCAAUGACAUCUAGACCUAAACAAAAGAGGCCCCCUCCUUCUUCCUCCUGAUUGAAGACUUGCCAGAUGUCUAGGUCACCCUAACUCUAACCAGUUACUCCCUAGGGUGGUGAUUCUAGAGGCAAAGCAACAGUAGGAUGGAGUCGGUGGGGGAAGGGAGGUUGAGGGCCCUAUCCAGGCAGGUAAGACUGCAGCACUUGGCAGGGGAUAGCCCAGAACAAGGGGGAGGCAGAAAAUGACAGCAGAACUAGGGGCCUAGACUCCUGGCUCUCAGAGCUGCAUCUCAUUUUCUGGAGGGGUGUCAGGAUCGCUGAGGGCACUGCAGCCUGCACUUGGGGCCUAGGAGUGCCCCGAGGUGGUAGGGACAGAAUAAGAGAACAGAAUGUUCAAACAGUUAGCUUGAAACUUCAUUAGGGAACUGUAGAUAGAGAAGAAACUUUAUGGGGUUUGGGGAGACCACAAUAAGACUAAUGACACUCAAGAAAAUAAUGGGAAAAUUCUGAAACAUGCAGGCUUGCUUGACACAUAAAGCAAAACAAAUGCUUAGCAUCAAAAGGUCUCACGAAUUCCGC